rnacentral:misc_RNA from 1 species
AUGAAAAUAGUGAAAUAGUUAAUAAAAAAUUGGAGUUGUGGGAAAAACUAUUGAGAAUCAGGAUUUUUAGCUUAAGUAGAAGUAAGACCGAAUAUAUGCAUUGCAAGUUCCGCUCUUGUAGAAUAAAUAGAGGGAAAUUCAAUUGGAUGGAGUUUUAGUGCCAAAAUGUAACUAAUUCAAGUAUCAAGUUCUAUCAUCCAAAAGAACGGAGUAAUAGACAAAAAUGUAACUCAUAGGAUCAAAAUAGGAUGAUGAAAUGGAGGAGUGCAACGGGUGUACUAUGCAAUCAUAGGAUCCCUUACAAAGUGAAAGAUAAGUUCUAUA